AGUGAACGCUGGCGGUAGGCCUAACACAUGCAAGUCGGACGAGUGGCGGACGGGUGAGUAAUACAUCGGGAUCUGCCCGGUCGAGGGGGAUAACUAAGGGAAACGUACGCUAAUACCGCAUACGAUUAGAUGAGCCGAUAUGGGAUUAGCUAGUUGGGGGGGUAACGGCUCACCAAGGCGACGAUCCGGAGCUGGUCUGAGAGGAUGAUCAGCAACACUGGGACUGAGACACGGUCCAGACUCCUACGGGAGGCAGCAGUGGGGAAUAUUGGACAAUGGGCGCAAGCCUGAUGCAGCCAUACCGCGUGUGUGAAGAAGGCCUUCGGGUUGUAAAGUCCUUUUGUUGGGGAAGCGGUACCCAAAGAAUAAGCACCGGCUAACUCCGUGCCAGCCGCCGCGGUAAUUC
rnacentral:rRNA from 1 species